rnacentral:rRNA from 1 species
GAUGAACGCUGGCGGCGUGCCUAAUACAUGCAAGUCGAGCGAACAGAUAAGGAGCUUGCUCCUUUGACGUUAGCGGCGGACGGGUGAGUAACACGUGGGUAACCUACCUAUAAGACUGGAAUAACUCCGGGAAACCGGGGCUAAUGCCGGAUAACAUUUAGAACCGCAUGGUUCUAAAGUGAAAGAUGGUUUUGCUAUCACUUAUAGAUGGACCCGCGCCGUAUUAGCUAGUUGGUAAGGUAACGGCUUACCAAGGCAACGAUACGUAGCCGACCUGAGAGGGUGAUCGGCCACACUGGAACUGAGACACGGUCCAGACUCCUACGGGAGGCAGCAGUAGUGAAUCUUCCGCAAUGGGCGAAAGCCUGACGGAGCAACGCCGCGUGAGUGAUGAAGGUCUUCGGAUCGUAAAACUCUGUUAUUAGGGAAGAACAAAUGUGUAAGUAACUGUGCACGUCUUGACGGUACCUAAUCAGAAAGCCACGGCUAACUACGUG